rnacentral:rRNA from 1 species
UACGUAGGGGGCUAGCGUUAUCCGGAAUUAUUGGGCGUAAAGAGCUCGUAGGCGGUUUGUCGCGUCUGCCGUGAAAGUCCGGGGCUCAACUCCGGAUCUGCGGUGGGUACGGGCAGACUAGAGUGAUGUAGGGGAGACUGGAAUUCCUGGUGUAGCGGUGAAAUGCGCAGAUAUCAGGAGGAACACCGAUGGUGAAGGCAGGUCUCUGGGCAUUAACUGACGCUGAGGAGCGAAAGCAUGGGGAGCGAACAGG